rnacentral:lncRNA from 1 species
UUGGUGAUAGUGAUCGUUAACAACAGCAGAUGGUGGUUGUGGUAGUGACGAGCAGUGAACAUAAUGCUAGUGAAAGCACAUCUUCACAAGAAUCUUUAAACCCCCACAUAGAAAAGAAAGUAUAAUGAAGAACAAGCAAAUUAUAUAUCAAAAAAUCCAUUUACAUUAUUGUCAAGCAUUAUCAAUCGCGCCAAGAAGGCGCUACAUACAGCAAAACAUGGGAUAUACAAUACCCAAGUGUUACAUACAUCAUGAACAACAUUUGCAAUACUCUAUAUAAAAUGGCAAUGUCCUAUAUAUGUUAAGUGUUUUCUUGCUCUCUCUCCCUCUAGUUGGAACAUCAACCUGCCAAAAUAUCGGAAUCCUGCAUACCAAGCAAGCAAAUGAGUAGUAUUUGCAAAACAAUAUUGAUCAUUUGCACUUUGACAUGUAGUUUAGAUUUCAGAUAUACUUAAACUUAUCUCCAUUCACCCAAAAAAAAAUAAUUAGCUACAACAUUAUACUAUAGUGUCUGGUUCAUAACAAUACAACUACAAAGAAGCUAACGCAUUAUUACAGGUAUAGGUUGAGCUAUCUUUAACAACUAAGCAUCGAUAUAAAGGGUGCAUAGACAUACUCAAUACUUUUAGCAAUUACCUAAAGCCAUGCUUGCUUUAUUUUGCACCACUUGAGAACAAGAAAAUUCUUAGUCCCAACAUUAACAUAGUUAUGGAUUGCUGAAGGAUUUGUGAAACAUAAAAGCGUUUUCUUUGGUACACACAUUAAACUAUCUCACAAUGAUUCUUCACAUCUAACCUCUUUGUUUCACAUCAAUCCUACAGCAACCCACAACCAUGCAAAAUGAAGAGAAAAUAAAGCAAGCAUGCUCUAGAUAAUACACCAAAACACAAAUAAAGAUAGCCUAAUUCAAAGGUCAUGGAAACUCACAACACUAUGUGCUUGACAAGGAAAAGUUCAUGAAAAAUUGACUAAACAUUCUAGAAUCAACAGACACUAACACAAAAUAAUACGAUAAUCAAAGUACAAGUAGCGAUUGGAUCUUCAAAAAAAGUUAACGAACAAUAUGACUAAUGCAAAUAUGUGAACAUACUCAAAGAUUAAAUUAGCAUUUACCUCAAACCAUGCUUUCUUUAUUUACUAACACAAGAAAAUUUCAAGUCACACAUUCAACAUGAUUAUGGAUAGCCGAAGGAUUCACGAGAAACACAAAGUGUUUUCUUCCUAACAACUAACUCUUUGAAUUCUCCAAUGUUCUUCACAUAUCACUUAUUUGUUUCACAUUAAUCCUUGUGCUACCCAUAAUCAUGUAAAAUUAUGAAAAAAUAAAGAAAGCAUGUUCAAGGUUAUCUGCCAUAAAUCUAAAUAAACAUAACUCAAUUCAAAAAUAAAAGGGGUGGCGGCUAAGAGCAAAAGAACCCUAAUUUUGUGAGAUGAA